GAAAAGUAAGCCAAAAACGCUAAUACCUACAUCGACUUGGUAAACCCUUUCAUCUUUCUGUACAAUCGGCCCACAUAAACUAAAAUUUCUUAGAAAAUCUUCUUGCUCUUAAACUUUGGUUAUGAUUUAUUUCAUGAACGUGAGAGAAUUCAGGGGAUGCUUCGUGAUGGUGGUCUAAAGAAACAUCAGGGGAUGCAAACCUGAUUAUAAUGGUACUGCCUCCAUCUCUAUAAUUAUCGAUACCACCAGUUUUCUCAUCGUUCUUUCGUAAUUCAAUCGAAAAUUUUGAAUUCAUUCGCCUAAACCAAGGAUUUGGGAGGAAUUUAUGGAUAGCGGACUCCAUUCUAUAGGGAGGGCUUGCCAACGACGAUAUCUAAAGUGGAAAAACAACGUUGGAGAUAAUCAUCAAAAAAUUCUUCGUUAAGACCUUCAAUUCUAUUUGGUUUCUUCUAUUGUCUCACUUGGCUUCACAUCGCCGGAAGGUUGUGGAAGGAUGCUGAGAACAGAACAUUAUUGUCUAAUUUUCUCAUUAAGAAUUAUUCUCAUAGACCAAAGAUUCCUACUGUUGAAGAAAAGCUAAUGGUCCUAGGAUGCAAGUAAAUUUUGGGUCUUCCUAUUUCUCUUUUGCAUUAUGUUCUAGGAUUAAUUUGAUGAGUUAACUGUCUUAUGGGCACAAUUGUCUUUUUCAAGGAUUUAGAGAGAAGAAUUGUGGAAAUUGAGAUGGAAAUAACACUAGCAAAAGUCAAGGUUUUCUUAGCAACCAAUUGAAAUCAUCUUCUAACAAAAGGUUUCUUGAUGUGAUUGGCAUUUACACUGGAUUUGGUGACAAAUUAAGAAGAAAUUAUUUGAGAGGAUCAUGGAUGCCUAAAAGUCGGUUUAUGACAAAAUAAUAUUUUAAAUUUCUUUCUAUUGUUACUCUAUGUUUAACUUAAUACCUAUAAAAAUACAAUCUUUAUAUUAUAAUAAUGAAAAAUUAACUUACAAAGCCA